rnacentral:tRNA from 1 species
GCCUGGGUGGCUCAGUCGGUUAAGCGUCUGACUUCAGCUCGGGUCAUGAUCUCACGGUUUGUGAGUUCGAGCCCCACAUCGGGCU